GGGGGGUAGGCGGCUUUGCAAGUGACGGGUGAAAUCCCCUCGGCUUAACCGAGGNAACUGCCUGUCAGACUGCGAGGGCUUGAGACCGGGAGAGGUGAGUGGAAUUNCCCAGUGUAGCGGUGAAAUGCGUAGAGAUCGGGAGGAACAUCUGUGGCGAAGGCGGCCAUCUGGACCAGCACUGACACUGAGGCACGAAAGCGUGGGGAGCAAACAGGAUUAGAUACCCUGGUAGUCCACGCCCUAAACGAUGCGAACUGGAUGUUGGGAGCAAUUAGGCUCUCAGUAUCGAAGCUAACGCGUUAAGUUCGCCGCCUGGGGAGUACGGUCGCAAGACUGAAACUCAAAGGAAUUGACGGGGGCCCGCACAAGCGGUGGAGUAUGUGGUUUAAUUCGAUGCAACGCGAAGAACCUUACCUGGCCUUGACAUCCACGGAACUUUCCAGAGAUGGAUUGGUGCCUUCGGGAACCGUGAGACAGGUGCUGCAUGGCUUCUCAGCUCGU
rnacentral:rRNA from 1 species